GAGUCCCAAUGUACAGUGCCUCAUGGCUAUGCCUUACAAGCGCAAGCACAUAGAGAACCUGCGUUCGGCAAUGGAGGACCUGAGUCCCUGCACAUCAAGAGAUAGAAAGGAGCUCUUCGUGAGAGCAAAUUCCAUCGGAGAAACUGACGGCAGGUAUGGUCUGGCACAGUACCUUGUUGAGAAGCUGCUGUCAAGCGGAGGAGGAGCACUUCCUACCAUUCAGGCCCUCGAACUCAAGACUCUGAUAGGUGCGGGGGCAUUUGGUUCCGUGUACAAGGCUGAAUGGCUGGGGGCACCAGUUGCUGUGAAAGAGUUUAGGAGCGGUGAUGCUUCAUUCGACAAGGAGGUGAACAUCCUGAAAGAACUUAUUUCAGAACCGCACCCGAGCGUGCUCCAAAUGAUAGGAUACUAUCAGAAGGAUGAGAAGGCUUACCUUGUCAUGGAGCUGAUGGAAAGAGAUUUGGCCAACGUUAUAAGGAAGACUCAAGGUUCGCUGCAACUUUUAACUUCUAUAGACAUCAUGCUCCAGAUUGCGAGCGGCAUGAGCUACCUCCAUCAAAAGAAUGUGGUUCAUCGAGACCUCAAGCCUUCGAAUAUCCUGGUUAAGACACCGAACCAUGCCUGCGCCACCUGUUCCAACGUGAGGUUAACAGACUUCGGAGUCUCAAAGUCGAACUUUAUAAGCUUUGCACCGGACUUGUCUUACCAGAGGGGGACGAUCCAAUACAUGGCUCCAGAGAUGCUGAGGGGUCAGAAGUACUCCAGAGAAGUUGACGUGUACAGCUUUGGAAUUAC
rnacentral:lncRNA from 1 species